rnacentral:rRNA from 1 species
AACGAACGCUGGCGGCAUGCCUAACACAUGCAAGUCGAACGAGACCUUCGGGCCUAGUGGCGCACGGGUGCGUAACGCGUGGGAACCUGCCCUUAGGUUCGGAAUAACUCCCCGAAAGGUGUGCUAAUACCGGAUAAUGUCUUCGGACCAAAGAUUUAUCGCCUAUGGAUGGGCCCGCGUUGGAUUAGCUAGUUGGUAGGGUAAAAGCCUACCAAGGCGACGAUCCAUGGCUGGUCUGAGAGGAUGAUCAGCCUGACUGGGACUGACGCACGGCACGGACACGGGCGGGAGGAGGGGGGAGGAAUGAAUGGAGGGUGGGAGAAUGAUUGAUCAAGCCAGCGCGCGGGAGGAAGGAAUGCGGUAGGGAUACAGAGUUCUCUUGCCAGGAAGGGUGAGUGACGGUACGGGGUAAAGAAGCACGGGCAACUUAGGU